rnacentral:misc_RNA from 1 species
GAUGAAGAACGCAGUGAAAUGCGAUAAGUAAUGUGAAUUGCAGAAUUCCGUGAAUCAUCGAAUCUUUGAACGCACAUUGCGCCCGCUAGUAUUCUGGCGGGCAUGCCUGUCCGAGCGUCAUUUCAACCCUCAAGCCCCCGGGCUUGGUGUUGGGGAUCGGCGAGCCUCCGCGCCCGCCGUCCCCUAAAUCUAGUGGCGGUCUCGCUGUAGCUUCCUCUGCGUAGUAGCACACCUCGCACUGGGAAACAGCGCGGCCACGCCGUUAAACCCCCAACUUCUGAACGUUUGACCUCGGAUCAGGUAGGAAUACCCGCUGAACUUAAGCAUAUCAAUAAGCGGAGGA